ACGGUUAUCGAGGAGAACGCAGCUAUCUGUAUUCCAAACAUAAGCCACUCGGAUCCAGCCACUGAUCCGCCAUUUUUUCGUGGAUUCGAGCCAAGAUUCGAUUCGAGAAGGAAACUUUGGUGUUGUGGAUAUUCGAUUUCCCAGUUAUGCCUAGGAUGUGGAAAAUUAUCGACCGAAUUUGCCAUGAGAAAUCGUCGAUGACGGAAUAUUUAUUCCACCGUGGUGGCGAAACACGUGAUUAUCGAAUAUUAAGAUUAAUGAUACCAUCGGAUGUAAUCAGCAAUACCUAAAUGCCCGUCCAGUAAACGUCAUAACUAGUUAAUACUCAGCCAUGAAUAUUUGAUUAAUGCGGUUGACAAUUAAGAAGAAAAAAGAGAAAGAAGUGUUAUGUAAAUUUGUUUUAAUCAGCAGAACACUCCAAGAAGAUUAAAGAACAACUAUAUAAGAGUAAAGGACAAAAUAGAAAAUUGAACGAAGAGAAGAAUUUAACGUCGUGUAUUUUCCAUUUAUACGUUUGUUCGAUGAAGUUGAAUUUAAACUGCACGACAGAUAUAUGAUGAAAAUACGAUUUGAGAUUGUUCCGUGUGUGUUCGAAAUGGAAUAAAUAAGAAACUAGAAUUUGUUUAAAGAAUCUCUUUGCAUAAAGAUUAUUUAUUCGAUUCGAUUAAGAAUACUAUUUGUCAUAUCAAAUUAUCUUUACAAAAUAUUUAUUUUAGAGAUAACAUAUUAAAAAAAAAAAGAAAUUGAAUUGACAACCAGCAUCUGUUUCUAUUCGCAAGAUAACUAGAACUCUAAUCGUGUUUUAUUUUUAUUUAAAAUUUUUUUAUUUACACGUGUGAAAAUAUGAAUUCAUAAAUAAAUUAUAAUAUGUAAAAUUGAAACAUAAAACGUUUCCUUCCUUAUUAAUUCCAAUGAAUCUUCGAAUAUAUUUCCUUAAAAAAUUAUACAUUUAUAACAAUUACAAUUUCAAAUAAAGAAAAAAAAAAGAUAUAUUAAUCUAGAUUAAUCUUUUAUGAAUUCUCAUUCUUAUUAAGAACGAUAAAAAGAAGAGUAUUAAGAAUGAUGUGCAAAGUAAAAUAAGAUGUUUAUCCAUGUAUAUGGAAGAUCAAAUAUGAUAAAUAAACCACAAAUGGUACAAUUAGAAGUUAAUUAUUAUUUUCCAGUCUGUGCAAUUUAUUUUUCAUUUACGAACUGAUGUAACAGAAUUUCCUCUCAAUUUUUUCUCAAAGUCAUAACGAUAAUAAGCCAUCGUUUCUUUUCCGGAAAGAACAAUUUAUCUUUCUUAAAUAAAUAAAUUGUACAAGAUCAAGCAGAACAUUCAAACGGAAUAAUGGGUUUAUUUUUUUUUCGAGAAUAAAGAAAAUUAAAAGAAAAUUCAUUUUAUUAAAAAACUCGAAGAUAAAACAGAGAAAAUAAGAAUUGUAAAAUAUGUUUAUCGUCGACAUGGCGAUUGGCUGAUUGUCUACAGAUAUCGCUGAUAUAACGCCGCAGAUUUGAUAUUUACAACGAUUCUUUAGAAAUUGAAUAUUGUUGGCCGAUAAACAGUUAUUGACCCUUAAUAUCCUGAUCAAUAUCCCAUACUAUUAUUGUGCCAAUAAAAUUGUGGUUGUCAAACUGUGAAAUUAUAUUUCGAUUCAUAUUAUUUUCAAUAAUAUUGUGAAACGUGAUUCGAAAAUUUCAUCGAAAAUUUGACCACUUUAUUGCUUCAACGAUACAACAAUUCAUCUGCAGUAUCAUCUACAUUCAUUACAUGUAUACACACAUUGUGUACACACAUUGCACACGUUUAUACGUUAUACUUCAUGAACUGGCAUAUUGAGGAUAGCCAAAAACCUUGUAUAUCAAUUCGUAUUUGCAGAUAACGUUUGUAAAGAUAAACAAGGCUUACUUAUAAUACCAUAGAUGUAAGAACAUUGAAGAAAAAAGGAUAAUUAAUUUAAUCACGAAACUAGAUUAGCUAACAAAACAUCUCAUAGCAAACAAAUUUAUAAUUUAUAACGAUUCAUCCCCAAUCUUCGUAAAUAUAAUUCAAUUCGAGCAUAAUUUAAUUGCAUAGAAGUUUCAUUAAUAUAAUUGCAAAUGUAACUAGGAAUAACACGAGGAUUGCGUGUGAUCGAGUCUCAUGUUCAGGAACUUUGGCGAAAUAAAUUUUCAACGGCGUUUGAAUUAGAAUUUCAGAUGAACAAUCACACAGGAAUAUGCAACGGAACAACGGGAAGAAAAGUUUUACUACACCAAGACCAACAAAUGUGACGUCCUUUCCGCGAAACGGCUGUACAUACCUUGCAGACAAGUGAAAUGUCAUACAUAGUGAAUCGCGUGCAAGAGGCAUUAUGUAAAUAUCGGCUCGAGAAGAAUGAUGCACUCGAUUCACUUUGCUUUCUCAAUCUUUUUAUCUAUUCCCUUUCGAUCGAGGAUUUCUUCACGAGGAACGUUGUAAUCUCGUCAAACAUUUGCGUAAACGUAUUUCGUCUCUAGAUUUUUCUCGAUAAUUCUCGAAAUUCUUGAUACAGAAUCAAUGAAUUGGUGAUGUAAGAUCUAACGAUAAAUUCAUAAUACAAUUUAAUUGCAAGAAUACAAUAUAUUUUUUUCAGUAGCGAUUAAGUGAUGAGACUGAGAAUAAAUAUUUGAACAUUAUUUUCUAUUGCUGACAAUUUGAGAACAAAUUUUUAUUCCCUCGUAUAUUUUCAUUUUCAUUUUUUUCUUUUUUUGAGAAAAUAAUAAAUUAUUUAUGUAUUCAAUUUAUGAAUAAUUCUGUGAAAUUAUUCAGUCGAAACAAAAUAUGGAAUUCUAUUUGAAUCACGAAGUUAGUUUAUAAAUUCGAAAAUCGUGAUACAUUUCAAAGAUUAUUAUCAUCUGCCUAACUUCGACAAGAAGAUAUAUUUUUCUCGAAUUAAUAUUUAUUUAUUCACAUCACAGUUCGAGAAAGUUUAUUGCAUGGAAAGAGAAACAGUAGUUUUUCCUUGAAUUUGCUUUUGCAACAAAGUUGCUAAGCUGUCUCAAUUCGCACAAAUACGAAUUUCCAAGCAUCCACUCUUUCUUAUUCCGAGUGAUAUAACGAGUCUACGUUCCAUUUCGAUAGAAUAGUUAUCGAUUUUUUGAAUCGAAUUCUUUCUUGUAGAAAGCGCGUCUCUGGAAAAAAAAAAGCACUGGUCGAAGUCUCAAAGCCAACAGUGAACGUUCAGAUUCAGAGAAGCGACAGGACAACGAAGUUUAAAUAGCUUGACGAAAUUCAAAAUUCAAAAUCCCCCCUCUGUCCAAACGUUCGAACUUUUCAAGUUGAAAAUGGAAAAGCUUUAAACUUCUUCAACUUAAACAUCUGAGAAAUCGCACGAGGCUCGAUAUACAAUAAUAAUGGACCCAUGAGGAACGACAUUGUAACCUAUCAUUCUAAACGACCAAUCAUCCUGUCACGUUUUUACCCCAUGAGAAAUGCAUCGAGAUUUCGAGAAAAUCGCAGGAACAGAACAUUGGGUAGUUCUUUUAUUCGCAUAAAAUUUCUGGCAAAAACUAUAUAUUGUCACAAUGGGAUGCUUUUAACAAAUCGUCCGAAAAGUUGCAUUUUCGGAUUCGUGGCAUUAAUCUUCAACUACAAACUUGCGUGCACGAGGAAAAAUUAGGAAAAUUCUGAUUUCCUUGUGUGAAAUAAAUGCACCAUCGUUUUAAAUUCGUUGGAAACGGGUCAAGAUCGAGGUAGUAUGCAUGAAUCGAACAAUUAAACAACUGAGCAGCAGUGUUUGUUUGCAAAUAAUUCAGAAAUAGAAUUUAGAAUAGGAAUCUUUUCAAGAAAAAUUUUCACUGCAACAACGAAUCGUUUAAAUCUUCGUUGACAUAGAACAUUUGGAAAAAGUUAAGCAAAAACGGUGUGCAACACGAUUUGAACAAUGAAACAUCAAGCAAGGACGCGAGAUUUCCAUACAUUUUAAAUAAUUCCCACAUCUCGGCUUUUGCAGCAAGAUGAUUUUACAUUCAAAUCUUCAAGCCACACGCAAAUCACGAAAAAAUAUUUUACCGAGAUUCCAAGUUGGAGCUUCGUCCAAUUUCUAGCUCACGUCUCCUUGUUUUCCUGGACGACAUUAAAAAAAUAUUUCGUCGUUGCACGACGAAAGACGGGGACAAUUUGUUUGGAUCUACUCCCACGGUGUUCUGAAUCAAGAUAUUCCACGAACCUCGUUCCACUUUUUCCCUCUUCUUUUCCUUGAAAUCGGCCAUUCUUUCUUGGUACCUUUUGUUUCAUAUCUUAGAAAUCUAGUGCAUUUUUAGAGUAACA
rnacentral:lncRNA from 1 species